GUAACGCGUAUACAAUCUGCCUUAUACUGGGGGAUAGCCUUUGGAAACGAAGAUUAAUACCCCAUAGUAAGUGAAGAUGGCAUCAUCAUCACUUUAAAGAUUACGGUAUAAGAUGAGUAUGCGUCCUAUUAGUUUGUUGGUAAGGUAACGGCUUACCAAGACUACGAUAGGUAGGGGCCCUGAGAGGGGGAUCCCCCACACUGGUACUGAGACACGGACCAGACUCCUACGGGAGGCAGCAGUGAGGAAUAUUGGACAAUGGGCGAGAGCCUGAUCCAGCCAUGCCGCGUGCAGGAAGACGGCCCUAUGGGUUGUAAACUGCUUUUAUACAGGAAGAAACACUCCCUCGUGAGGGAGCUUGACGGUACUGUAAGAAUAAGGACCGGCUAACUCCGUGCCAGCAGCCGCGGUAAUACGGAGGGUCCGAGCGUUAUCCGGAAUCAUUGGGUUUAAAGGGUCCGUAGGCGGGCAGCUCAGUCAGUGGUGAAAGUCUGUGGCUCAACCAUAGAAUUGCCAUUGAUACUGGUUGUCUUGAAUUAUUGUGAAGUGGUUAGAAUAAGUAGUGUAGCGGUGAAAUGCAUAGAUAUUACUUAGAAUACCAAUUGCGAAGGCAGAUCACUAACAAUAUAUUGACGCUGAUGGACGAAAGCGUGGGGAGCGAACAGGAUUAGAUACCCUGGUAGUCCACGCCGUAAACGAUGGAUACUAGCUGUUCGAGAGCAAUCUUGAGUGGCUAAGCGAAAGUGAUAAGUAUCCCACCUGGGGAGUACGUUCGCAAGAAUGAAACUCAAAGGAAUUGACGGGGGCCCGCACAAGCGG
rnacentral:rRNA from 1 species